rnacentral:tRNA from 1 species
CCAGGUGUGGCUGAUUGGCAAAGCAGCGGACUGUAGAUCCGUGACAUGUAGGUUCAAAUCCUACCGCCUGGA